AGAGUUUGAUCCUGGCUCAGGAUGAACGCUAGCGGCAGGCUUAACACAUGCAAGUCGAGGGGCAGCAUAAUGGAUAGCAAUAUCUAUGGUGGCGACCGGCGCACGGGUGCGUAACGCGUAUGCAACCUACCUUUAACAGGGGGAUAACACUGAGAAAUUGGUACUAAUACCCCAUAAUAUCAUAGAAGGCAUCUUUUAUGGUUGAAAAUUCCGAUGGUUAGAGAUGGGCAUGCGUUGUAUUAGCUAGUUGGUGGGGUAACGGCUCACCAAGGCGACGAUACAUAGGGGGACUGAGAGGUUAACCCCCCACACUGGUACUGAGACACGGACCAGACUCCUACGGGAGGCAGCAGUGAGGAAUAUUGGUCAAUGGACGCAAGUCUGAACCAGCCAUGCCGCGUGCAGGAUGACGGCUCUAUGAGUUGUAAACUGCUUUUGUACGAGGGUAAACGCAGAUACGUGUAUCUGUCUGAAAGUAUCGUACGAAUAAGGAUCGGCUAACUCCGUGCCAGCAGCCGCGGUAAUACGGAGGAUUCAAGCGUUAUCCGGAUUUAUUGGGUUUAAAGGGUGCGUAGGCGGUUUGAUAAGUUAGAGGUGAAAUUUCGGGGCUCAACCCUGAACGUGCCUCUAAUACUGUUGAGCUAGAGAGUAGUUGCGGUAGGCGGAAUGUAUGGUGUAGCGGUGAAAUGCUUAGAGAUCAUACAGAACACCGAUUGCGAAGGCAGCUUACCAAACUAUAUCUGACGUUGAGGCACGAAAGCGUGGGGAGCAAACAGGAUUAGAUACCCUGGUAGUCCACGCAGUAAACGAUGAUAACUCGUUGUCGGCGAUACACAGUCG
rnacentral:rRNA from 1 species